UACGGAGGGUGCAAGCGUUAUCCGGAUUCAUUGGGCGUAAAGGGUGCGUAGGUGGCGCGGUAAGUCGGGUGUGAAAUUUCGGAGCUUAACUCCGAAACUGCAUUCGAUACUGCGGUGCUUGAGGACUGGAGAGGAGACUGGAAUUCAUGGUGUAGCAGUGAAAUGCGUAGAGAUCAUGAGGAAGACCAGUGGCGAAGGCGGGUCUCUGGACAGUUCCUGACACUGAGGCACGAAGGCCAGGGGAGCAAACGGG
rnacentral:rRNA from 1 species